AUUGAACGCUGGCGGCAGGCCUAACACAUGCAAGUCGAACGGUAACAGGAAGCGGCUUGCUGCUUUGCUGACGAGUGGCGGACGGGUGAGUAAUGUCUGGGAAACUGCCUGAUGGAGGGGGAUAACUACUGGAAACGGUAGCUAAUACCGCAUAACGUCGCAAGACCAAAGAGGGGGACCUUAGGGCCUCCUGCCAUCGGAUGUGCCCAGAUGGGAUUAGCUAGUAGGUGGGGUAACGGCUCACCUAGGCGACGAUCCCUAGCUGGUCUGAGAGGAUGACCAGCCACACUGGAACUGAGACACGGUCCAGACUCCUACGGGAGGCAGCAGUGGGGAAUAUUGCACAAUGGGCGCAAGCCUGAUGCAGCCAUGCCGCGUGUAUGAAGAAGGCCUUCGGGUUGUAAAGUACUUUCAGCGGGGAGGAAGGGAGUAAAGUUAAUACCUUUGCUCAUUGACGUUACCCGCAGAAGAAGCACCGGCUAACUCCGUG
rnacentral:rRNA from 1 species